rnacentral:tRNA from 1 species
GGUAGACGCUACGGACUUAAAUCCGUCGACUUUAGAAAUCGUGAGGGUUCAAGUCCCUCUAUCCCCA